rnacentral:rRNA from 1 species
UACGUAGGGAGCAAGCGUUGUCCGGAAUCAUUGGGCGUAAAGCGCGCGUAGGCGGCCUCAUAAGUCCGUUGUGAAAGUCAAAGGCUCAACCUCGAGACGCCGGUGGAAACCGUAAAGCUAGAGUCCGGAAGAGGAGAGUGGAAUUCCUGGUGUAGCGGUGAAAUGCGCAGAUAUCAGGAGGAACACCCGUGGCGAAAGCGGCUCUCUGGGACGGUACUGACGCUGAGGCGCGAAAGCGUGGGGAGCAAACAGG